AUUGAACGCUGGCGGCAGGCCUAACACAUGCACGUCGAACGAGUGGCGGACGGGUGCGUCAUGUCUGGGAAACUGCCCGAGGGCGGGGGAUCACUACUGGAAACGGUAGCUAAUACCGCAUACCAUCGGAUGUGCCCAGAUGGGAUUAGCUAGUAGGUGGGGUAACGGCCCACGUAGGCGACGAUCACUAGCUGGUCUGAGAGGAUGACCAACCACACUGGGACUGAGGCACGGUCCAGACUCCUAAGAGAGGCAGCAGUGGGGAAGAUGGCACAAUGGGCGCAGGCCUGAUGCAGCCAUGCAGCGUGUAUGAAGAAGGCCUUCGGGUUGUAAAGGACUUUCAGCGAGGAGGGGUUACUCGCAGAAGAAGCUCCGGGUAACUCCGUGCCAGCCGCCGCGGUAAUAC
rnacentral:rRNA from 1 species